CUGACUGCAGGGCAUGGAACAACUUGAUAGCUGCAGACACCCAUCAAGGCAAGUCAGGCCUUCCUUCCCGCUGUUUCAGAUAAGGACUGAGGAGGCCGCUGCCUGGUGCUAAUACCUUCAGGACUUCCUUAUCACACUCAGACUUUCUCUGCUACUUUAUUUUUCUUUUCAUUUGGGGCUGAUGAAACGUUUAAACCAAAGGAAAGAUAUUAAUGCCCACUGGUCUUUUUUUAUGCCGCACAAUGGGUUCGCAGUACCCUCCAAGUCUUCGAAUUCUUCUCUCGGCUCUGAUUCUCGUGUAUGAAAUCUCUUUCAUCCUCAUAUUUUAUUUCUUUGUUUUAUAUGAUCAUCAAAGAAACCUUGAUAUCUACCCAGUAUUUCAAGAUGUCAACAUCAUGGUGUUUUUUGGUUUCGCCUUCCUCCUGACUUUCUUGAGACGAUAUGGCUUCAGCAGCACUGGAUUCAGCCUUCUUCUGGCUGCCCUGGCAGUGCAGUGGGCUGUGAUGGUGGACGGAUUUCUGUUCCAUUUCUCAAAUGGGAAAGUGAGGAUCAGUCUUCAAAGCAUCUUAACAGCUGUUAUGAGCAUCCCCACGGUGUUGAUUUCAGCUGGAGCUGUCCUUGGGAAAGCCAAUCCGAUCCAAUUGAUCCUGAUGGCUCUGAUAGAGGUGACCGUUUUUGCUGCUAACCGAUGGAUUGCUAUGGAUGUUCUGCAGGUGGAAAACCACUUAAGCUUGAUGUACGUCCAUUUGUUUGGGGCUUAUUUUGGGCUGAUGUUAGCCUGGUGGCUGUAUCAUCCAUCCCUGAGCCAGAAAGCGGAGAAGGAGACCUCAAAGCCAGCUUCCCAUUUGUUUGCAAUGCUAGGUACUCUCUUCCUCUGGAUAUUCUGGCCCAGCUUCAAUUCAGUCCUGAUCAACAAUGAGGGGGACAAAAGUGUUGCCAUCUACAACACCUAUUUUGCAAUUGCUUCAAGUACCGUCACUGCCUUUGCACUCUCGGUGGCUACCAACAAAGACGGAAAGAUCAACAUGACCCAAAUCCAGAAUUCCACACUGGCCGGUGGAGUUGCUGUUGGCUUUUCAGCAUCCAGCAUCCAGCAUCCUUGGAUCGCAAUAACUUUGGGCCUGCUGGCUGGGACUGUCUCUGUACUGGGGUCUGUCUUUUUGCAGAAACCCUUGAAUACAUAUCUGAAGAUCCAUGAUACCUGCAGAGUCCAUUCCACAUUUGGCUUCCCCAGCUUGCUUGGUGCGAUAGCGCACACCAUUCUUACCAUAGCAGACCACUGGGGAGGCAGCAAUCAGUCUCACUGGGGCUACGUGGCUUUGAUGGGACUUGGUGCACUCUCUCUGAGCAUAAUCCUAAGUCUAGUUGCUGGUUUUAUUACAGGUUCCUUGUUAAUUUGUAAAUUAUGGAAAGCACCACCUGUAGCCAAGUACUUCGAUGAUCAAGCUUAUUGGGAGUUCCCCCACUUGGCUGUUGGAUACUGAAUACAGACAUCCAGAUUGCCAUCAACCAGAACACUGGCGAGAGUAACUUUCUGUAACUGUGAGACUAUGUGGAGUGUAAAUGGCUGAUUAACGGGGCACUAGAGGCUACUGCACAGACUCUGCCUUGCAAAGAAAGAUGGACAGAUCACUGUAACCUAUCCUCAUCAACUACAGCAAUGAUUCUCAACCCAUUUUGUAUGGUGACCCACUUCAAAGGAGAGUAGGCACAAAUCAAUAAAACUGCAGAAGCCUGUCACCCAUUUUCACUGGCUUCAUGACCCACAGAAGGAAAAAAAAACCCUGACCUACAUCAUAAUAAUAUAGCCAGUGGUGGGAUUCAAAUAAUUUAACAACCGGU